UACGUAGGUGGCGAGCGUUAUCCGGAAUUAUUGGGCGUAAAGAGCGCGCAGGUGGUUGAUUAAGUCUGAUGUGAAAGCCCACGGCUUAACCGUGGAGGGUCAUUGGAAACUGGUCGACUUGAGUGCAGAAGAGGGAAGUGGAAUUCCAUGUGUAGCGGUGAAAUGCGUAGAGAUAUGGAGGAACACCAGUGGCGAAGGCGGCUUCCUGGUCUGUAACUGACACUGAGGCGCGAAAGCGUGGGGAGCAAACAGGAUUAGAUACCCG
rnacentral:rRNA from 1 species